ACUGUGACUCAGUCUGCAGCAGUGAGCUCUGCUGUUGGACGAUCUGUCAGAAUCAGCUGUGAAACCAGUCCCAGAGUUUAUGUGGAAGGCAACAAACACUGUUUAGCCUGGUACCAACAGAAAGAUGGACAAACUCCUCAACUCCUCAUUUAUUCUGCCAGCACUCGAGCAUCAGGGACUCCAGAUCGUUUUACAGGCAGAGGAUCAAACUCUGACUUCAGUCUGACCAUCAAUAAUAUUCAGGCUGAAGAUGCUGCAGUUUAUUAUUGUCAGAGUGCUCAUUAUAUUAACAGUCAGUAUCUGUUCACACAGUUUGAAACAGUCGUACAAAAACCUCCCUCAGUCACAGAGAACAGAAACUGA